UACGUAGGGGGCAAGCGUUGUCCGGAUUUAUUGGGCGUAAAGAGCGUGUAGGCGGCUAGAUAGGUCCGUUGUGAAAACUCGAGGCUCAACCUCGAGACGUCGAUGGAAACCAUCUGGCUAGAGUCCGGAAGAGGAGAGUGGAAUUCCUGGUGUAGCGGUGAAAUGCGUAGAUAUCAGGAGGAACACCGAUGGCGAAGGCAGGUCUCUGGGCUGACACUGACGCUCAUGCACGAAAGCGUGGGGAGCAAACAGG
rnacentral:rRNA from 1 species